AGCCUCGCAGCUCAGCUGGUAGAGCGUGCGCAUACAAAGCGUAGGCGGCGUCCAUGCGAGGGUUCAAAACCCACAGAGGCUA
rnacentral:tRNA from 1 species